ensembl:lncRNA
GUAAAGACCCCUGCAGCCACCGCUGGCCUCCGAUUAAAAAUAAAUCCCUUUCAUGGCCAGACAGUGGUUUGGGAAGGGGAAAUGCUGAACAGCAGUGAAAACUUGGAGAAUUUUUUGGCUGGAUGUCCUGCAAGGCAAGCACAAGCGGCAUUGAUUCGGGUACGGCUCUAUAUCCCUGGCCAUUCACGUGCACGUACAGGUACGCCUUGAGACAAACUCUUGCAGCUGUGGCAUAACCCCGGAUAAUCAAAGCAGCAUCCUUUGGAUGCGGUGUGAAAGUCAGUACUUGUCUGUAAACUGAUGUUGAACGUAAUGGAAUAGGCCAGCAACUCCAAAGCAUUCAGGGCCCGAAGACAAACACAGAUGGGGAGAAGCAGCCGGACUGCAAAGCUGUGUUCACCGUGCAGGAGGGAUGUCAGUCAUCCACGGCUGAAUGUUCUAUUAAACUGACUGCAAAGCUUCUCAGAAUGCACAGAAACCUCUCCAGGAGGGAGAGAGGAGCAUCUUGUUCAGGGGUGGAGAGCAUGAGGGAAGGGGACACCAGUGUACUAUAGUGACGGGAAAAAAAGGGAAGCAGCUGACAGGAGAAUGCACAAUUCCUCACAACCAGAACGUUCAUACAGCUCCUUCAGGUGGCUGUGUGCUAUGGAUUUCUCUCCAUGCUCCUACUAGCCUCAAAGCCCAGCUGAGCUGACUUAAGUCUGAUUGGAACCACUGUAAAAGAUAAGGCUCUAGGCAGCAUGAAGGACUUCAGCUGGGCUG